CCACCCCCAGUUGUUAUCCCAUUGGUUGACUGUUGUUCCCUCCCCUUGUUACCUACCCCAUAUAAAAUGGCCGUGCACACAGUGAUGGGUGCCUUUUGGGGCAUAUCUUCCGUCUGGCCCUAGUUGUCUCCUCAGACUUCUAAUAAACUCAGAACGUGGAUACCCCCGAAAGGACCACUCCUCGCUUUUGUCACUGUUGUCACGCACCUCAUCCUGUCUGGCGGCUUCAGGCCCACAGGCCAUAGUUCUUGCCUGCAGUGGUAUGUGAACGUGGCCCUUGCUGCCUGCAGUGCCAAGGGUACUGGACUGCCAGAGACCUUGGGAAGGCACCGUGACAGGCAACUCAGGGAUCGGGAUCACCUUGGCACAACUAUCUGGUAACCAAAAGAGCUAUAGAUGUUCUCAUCAGUUAGAUCUCAAUGAAAUGCAUAUGGAGGCUACAGCUGAAGGACUUGAGGGGCAGGCUGCCAUUUGGAGGAACCUAUGGGAUGAAUGGACAACAGACUUAGGGAACAAAAGCCCUUGAAGAAGGAAAUAGAAUUUUCCAGUCUGAGGAAGACACAGUUUUGAGGGGUCCAGAAGCCUUCCACUACCUAGGAGGAGGUUAUAAAACGACUGUUACAGGUUUUCCUGUGAUGCCUGUCAAGAGAACAAGAAACUAUAGACAUGAAUGAGAAAAAUAAUGUUUCCAGCUGGGUAUAACGCAUGAGGACACCCAAUAAGUGAAGUAGGUUACUUAGAGAGGGUAUACAAACUCUACUUUGAUGUUUUCAAGACCAGGUUGUGUAAAUCUCUAUGCAACUCUAUUUAGAGCAAGAUUUUACCCUAAAUCUUUCCUGAAGUGCCUUCCAACCUAAAGUAUCUUAUAUCAUUAUUAAAAGAAAAAACACAAA